rnacentral:lncRNA from 1 species
CCUUGCACCUGCGUUGGGAGCCCUGGUUAGACGUGCAGCCUUUCGAGGCCCUGCCCGCACCUCUGCUCUCACAAACUGCAUUUUAACCUCCAGGUGAUUUGGGUGCACUUUCAUGUGGGAGAAGCCCAGCCUUCUAGUGCCUUCGAUGAGCCAUUUGUUAAAAAGCUGUAAGCUGGGCUGGGCGUGGUGGCUCACUCCUGUAAUCCCAGCACUUUGGGAGGCCGAGGCAGGUGGAUCAUGAGGUCAGGAGAUUGAGACCAUCCUGGCUAACACGGUGAAACCCUGUCUCUACUAAAAAUACAAAAAAAAUUAGCCAGGUGUGGUGGCGGGUGCCUGUAAUCCCAGCUACUCAGGAGGCUGAGGCAGGAGAAUGGCGUGAACCCGGGAGGCGGAGCUUGCAGUGAGUCAAGAUAGAGACACUGCAGUCCAGUCUGGGCGAAAGAGUGAGACUCCGUCUCAAAAAAAAAAAAAAAAAAAUGCUGUAAGCUGAACAUGUCUCAUUGAAAUUAGAGUUGGGAGGAAACUCCUUCCUGUGCUGUCUUCUCCUUUAUGACUGAUUUCGGGCACCCANNNNNNNNNNNNNNNNNNNNNNNNNNNNNNNNNNNNNNAAAAAAAAAAAAAAAAAAAAAAGAAACCUUGUAUGGCACUUUGGCUCUCUGAAAUAGACACUUCUGGUGGCAUUGUUUUUUUUACAUAUACUAACUUAUUUAACUCCGAUAACAACCCUUUGAGAUAGGUUGUGUUACUUUUUCUAUUUUAGAGAAGGAAAAUGAAGCACAGAGAGCUUAAAAAAGUUGUCCAAGUUUACUCAGUUCAGAAGUAGAAGAUCUGGAAUUCAAACCCAGGUAGCCUGGCUUUU